rnacentral:rRNA from 1 species
UACGUAGGGGGCUAGCGUUGUCCGGAUUUAUUGGGCGUAAAGAGCGUGUAGGCGGCCAGGUAGGUCCGGUGUGAAAACUCGAGGCUUAACCUCGAGAUGUCAUCGGAAACCAUCUGGCUAGAGUCCGGAAGAGGAGAGUGGAAUUCCUGGUGUAGCGGUGAAAUGCGCAGAUAUCAGGAAGAACACCAAUGGCGAAGGCAGCUCUCUGGGACGGUACUGACGCUGAGGCGCGAAAGCGUGGGGAGCGAACAGG